AUGGCCGCUUUUCGGGAUGUACUGAUGACAUGUGAGUUAGUCGAUUUGGGGUUUUCUGGCAUACCCUAUACAUACGACAAUAUGCGUUCGGGAUCGGCAAAUGUACGCGUGCGGCUGGAUCGUGCGGUGGCAACAAAUGAGUGGAGGAACAUGUUCGCAUACUCUUCUGUGCAACACCUUGCAUCCCCUUGUUCAGAUCAUAUCCCAUUGCUGCUGAAGUUUGAUGCAGAGCAGGAGAGGCCUAGAGCCAAAGCACGACGAUAUGAAAUCUUUUGGGAAUGGGACGCAGAAUUGCUAGAUCUUGUAAACAAGGCGUGGUCGGCCUUCGGUGCAAUGGAGAACCUGGGACAGGUUAUUGCUGCCUUGCAAUCAACCAUGACAUCACUCCGGUCAUGGAGUAACAGA
rnacentral:rRNA from 1 species